AUUGAACGCUGGCGGCAGGCCUAACACAUGCAAGUCGAACGAAGUCUUCGGACCUAGUGGCGGACGGGUGAGUAACACGUGGGAACGUACCUUUUGGUUCGGAACAACUCAGGGAAACUUGAGCUAAUACCGGAUGAGCCCUUAGGGGGAAAGAUUUAUCGCCGAAAGAGCGGCCCGCGUUAGAUUAGCUAGUUGGUGAGGUAAAGGCUCACCAAGGCUACGAUCUAUAGCUGGUCUGAGAGGAUGAUCAGCCACACUGGGACUGAGACACGGCCCAGACUCCUACGGGAGGCAGCAGUGGGGAAUCUUGCGCAAUGGGCGAAAGCCUGACGCAGCCAUGCCGCGUGAAUGAUGAAGGUCUUAGGAUUGUAAAAUUCUUUUACCAGGGACGAUAAUGACGGUACCUGGAGAAAAGCCCCGGCUAACUUCGUGCCAGCCGCCGCAGUAAAAC
rnacentral:rRNA from 1 species